GUGGGGAAUCUUGCGCAAUGGGCGAAAGCCUGACGCAGCCAUGCCGCGUGGAUGAUGAAGGUCUUAGGAUUGUAAAAUCCUUUCACCGGUGAAGAUAAUGACUGUAGCCGGAGAAGAAGCCCCGGCUAACUUCGUGCCAGCAGCCGUGGUAAUACGAAGGGGGCUAGCGUUGCUCGGAUUUACUGGGCGUAAAGGGCGCGUAGGCGGACAUUUAAGUCAGGGGUGAAAUCCCGGGGCUCAACCUCGGAACUGCCUUUGAUACUGGGUGUCUUGAGUAUGAGAGAGGUGUGAGGAACUCCGAGUGUAGAGGUGAAAUUCGUAGAUAUUCGGAAGAACACCAGUGGCGAAGGCGACACACUGGCUCAUUACUGACGCUGAGGCGCGAAAGCGUGGGGAGCAAACAGGAUUAGAAACCCGAGUAGUCC
rnacentral:rRNA from 1 species